rnacentral:pre_miRNA from 1 species
AAUACUUGUCCUAGAAAUGGAUGAAUCUAGACUUAUUUUAGUUAUAGAUACAUCCAUGAUAUCCAUUUUUAGGACAAGUAUUUCCGGACGGAGAGAGUAUAUG